rnacentral:rRNA from 1 species
UACGUAGGGUGCAAGCGUUAAUCGGAAUUACUGGGCGUAAAGCGUGCGCAGGCGGUUUUGUAAGUCUGUCGUCGAAAUCCCCAGGCUUAACCUGGGAACUGCAUCCGAUACUGGAUGGCUUGAAGUCCGGGAGAGGGAUGCGGAAUUCCAGGUGUAGCGGAUGAAAUGCGUAGAUAUCUGGGAGGAACACCGGUGGCGAAGGCGGCGAUCCCGUGGACCGGGCAUUG